rnacentral:tRNA from 1 species
GCCUGUAGCUCAGCUGGUUAGAGCACCGGACUCAUAAUCCGUCGGUCCCUGGUUCGAAUCCAGGUGGG